GAUGAAGAACGCAGCGAAAUGCGAUAAAUAAUGUGAAUUGCAGAAUUCAGUGAAUCAUCGAAUCUUUGAACGCACAUUGCGCCCGCUAGUAUUCUGGCGGGCAUGCCUGUCCGAGCGUCAUUUCAACCCUCAAGCCCCCGGGCUUGGUGUUGGGGAUCGGCGAGCCUCCGCGCCCGCCGUCCCCUAAAUCUAGUGGCGGUCUCGCUGUAGCUUCCUCUGCGUAGUAGCACACCUCGCACUGGGAAACAGCGCGGCCACGCCGUUAAACCCCCAACUUCUGAACGUUUGACCUCGGAUCAGGUAGGAAUACCCGCUGAACUUAAGCAUAUCAAUAAGCGGAGGA
rnacentral:misc_RNA from 1 species